GUUCCCUGACCUGGGUAGAGUGGCAUCUGGUUUUGUGGCGCUUGUCAUACAUCAGCUAAGGACAAAGUAACUCCUUGCUUACCCCGGUUGGCUUUUGGUCUGUGCCCAUGCCUGGUUCAUACCCUGGAACAUGG
ensembl:snoRNA